rnacentral:rRNA from 1 species
AACGAACGCUGGCGGCAGGCCUAACACAUGCAAGUCGAACGCCCUGGCAACGGGGAGUGGCGGACGGGUGUGUAACACGUGGGAACGUACCUUUUGGUUCGGAACAACUCAGGGAAACUUGAGCUAAUACCGGAUGAGCCCUUAGGGGGAAAGAUUUAUCGCCGAAAGAGCGGCCCGCGUUAGAUUAGCUAGUUGGUGAGGUAAAAGCUCACCAAGGCUACGAUCUAUAGCUGGUCUGAGAGGAUGAUCAGCCACACUGGGACUGAGACACGGCCCAGACUCCUACGGGAGGCAGCAGUGGGGAAUCUUGCGCAAUGGGCGAAAGCCUGACGCAGCCAUGCCGCGUGAAUGAUGAAGGUCUUAGGAUUGUAAAAUUCUUUUACCAGGGACGAUAAUGACGGUACCUGGAGAAAAAGCACCGGCUAACUACGUGCCAGCCGCCGCGGUAACAC